GAUGAACGCUGGCGGCGUGCCUAACACAUGCAAGUCGAACGGAACUAUUUUGGAAACUCCUUCGGGAGCGGAAUUUUUAGUUUAGUGGCGGACGGGUGAGUAACGCGUGAGCAAUCUGCCUUUAAGAGGGGGAUAACAGUCGGAAACGGCUGCUAAUACCGCAUAAAGCAUCAAAUUCGCAUGUUUUUGAUGCCAAAGGAGCAAUCCGCUUUUAGAUGAGCUCGCGUCUGAUUAGCUGGUUGGCGGGGUAACGGCCCACCAAGGCGACGAUCAGUAGCCGGACUGAGAGGUUGAACGGCCACAUUGGGACUGAGACACGGCCCAGACUCCUACGGGAGGCAGCAGUGGGGAAUAUUGCGCAAUGGGGGAAACCCUGACGCAGCAACGCCGCGUGAUUGAAGAAGGCCUUCGGGUUGUAAAGAUCUUUAAUCAGGGACGAAAUAAAUGACGGUACCUGAAGAAUAAGCUCCGGC
rnacentral:rRNA from 1 species